rnacentral:rRNA from 1 species
UACGUAGGGUGCAAGCGUUAAUCGGAAUUACUGGGCGUAAAGCGUGCUCAGGCGGUUCGCUAAGACAGAUGUGAAAUCCCCGGGCUUAACCUGGGAACUGCAUUUGUGACUGGCGGGCUAGAGUAUGGCAGAGGGGGUAGAAUUCCACGUGUAGCAGUGAAAUGCGUAGAGAUGUGGAGGAAUACCGAUGGCGAAGGCAGCCCCCUGGGCCAAUACUGACGCUCAUGCACGAAAGGCGUGGGGAGCGAACAGG